AUUGAACGCUGGCGGCAGGCCUAACACAUGCAAGUCGAACGGUAACAGGAAACAGCUUGCUGUUUCGCUGACGAGUGGCGGACGGGUGAGUAAUGUCUGGGAAACUGCCUGAUGGAGGGGGAUAACUACUGGAAACGGUAGCUAAUACCGCAUAACGUCGCAAGACCAAAGAGGGGGACCUUCGGGCCUCUUGCCAUCGGAUGUGCCCAGAUGGGAUUAGCUAGUAGGUGGGGUAACGGCUCACCUAGGCGACGAUCCCUAGCUGGUCUGAGAGGAUGACCAGCCACACUGGAACUGAGACACGGUCCCGACUCCUACGGGAGGCAGCAGUGGGGAAUAUUGCACAAUGGGCGCAAGCCUGAUGCAGCCAUGCCGCGUGUAUGAAGAAGGCCUUCGGGUUGUAAAGUACUUUCAGCGGGGAUGAAGGGAGUAAAGUUAAUACCUUUGCUCAUUGACGUUACCCGCAGAAGAAGCACCGGCUAACUCCGUG
rnacentral:rRNA from 1 species